rnacentral:misc_RNA from 1 species
CUUGAACUUGCUAGAGUCUGCAUCAAAAUUUAAGCUACCACCAGCUGCUUAAGCAGCAACUAAAGAAAACGAUCAAUUAUUGCUGUGUUUUGGUUGGUCUUAUCCGAGAUUAAAUUUUGAAAAUAAAAAUGUAACAAAGUGGUAAAGAAGAAGAAGUAUUUCAAAAUAAAAUAUUCAAAUAAAAAAAACAAAAGAAAUCAGUGAAAAUUUUUUUAUUAAUCAAAAUAAAAUUUUUAAUACCUUUAGAGAGAAGGUGUUGUUGAUGUGUGAAUAAAGUUAAUAAAAGAAAAAAUAGUUUGAAAAUAAAAUGUUGUAAAAGAAAACCUUAAAUAAACCGUUAAUAAAACCAUAAUAUGUUUUCUAUUGCAUUGAAAUGUUACGUUUAACAAAAAAAACAUUUUACAUUUGUUCAUUUUUUUCUUAAUGUUUAAUGACAAUUAAUGUAACGGUUACGAAACGCUGUUUUAAAGACAAUAACAACAACAAAAAUCUAGAAAAUUAUAACUUGUACAUCAUUCAAAAAAAGGUGUUUGUAUAGAGAAGAUUCUUUAAGUUGAAGAUAAGAAAAGCUUUUAACUUGCUGUGUUGACAACAAUGGAUUGGCUUCGUAAUUUAUUGUUAUUAUUGGUCUUGAUGCCAUUUGUUUACAGUUGGAGUCCCAUACCCAGCUCACGCAGUCGAAGUUUUUAUGCAGCUUCACAACAACAGCAGCAACAACAACAAAAACAAUUACUACAGCAUAAACAACAGCAGACCGCAGCAGCUUCAAGUCAAAGAAGUGCAGUUUCGCCAUAUUUUGAUUUAAUAUUAUGUCCCAUACGAGAACAGCCCUGGUCUUGUGCACGUCAACAAUCGGCCCGUCUUUUAGACAUUUGGGAUGGGGAAUUGCAUGUUCAGUGGCAAAAGUUGAAAGCUGAAGCCGAUCGUCAAUUGAACUCCACACUAGAAAGACGUGGCUACAGUGAUUCCACAACCUUAAGCAAAGAAAAACCCUCAACAAUUUUAAAGAAAAUUGAAAUUGGAACAAAUUAUAUGAAAGAAUAUUUGGCUGAAACUAUGGAUGGAUUUUUAGGACGUGAAUAUGAAUAUUUACAAAAUACCAAAAACAAUUAUCAAACACAAAACGAUGAAGAAAAUGAAGAACAUACCGAUGAGUAUGAAGAGACUGACGAUGAUGAGGAUGAAGAGGAAGAUGAUGAACAAGACAAUACUGGCAAUGCUAAUGAACAGACAGGAGAUUUAAAAAAUACCAAUAAUGGGGCAGAGAAUGCAAAUAAUCUUAGUCAAGCUGCUGAUAGUGAUGCGGAAUUCUUUGAAAUCGAAGAGGGAACAGACAAUAACGAAGAUAAUGAACAAGAAACUGAUGAUGCUGUUGAAGAACUUAAAAAACCAGGAGGUGGCAAUAAGCGACGUAAAAAGAAAAAGAAGAAGGGCAGUCAACAUGAUAUUGGAACUCAAGCUGCUAAUCUCUUAGUCAUACAACCAUUAGAACAUCAAUUAGCAUCACAUCAACAUCAUGAUGAUAGUUUUGAUGCUCAUGGUGCUACACAGCUGCUACAGCCAGUUGUCCAGAAAAUCAAACCUUUAAAACAAAAGAAACGCAAGAAGAAGAAGGGUCAACAUGGUGGUGGUCAUGGCGGUGCUACUGCUACUUAUGUUGUUGAACAAGAACCUGCAACCGAUCAUUUAGGUUUGGGUCUACUCGAAGAAUUGGCCGAAUGGGAUGUUGACGAUGGAUUUGGCGGAAAGCGCAAGAAAAAACAUUCAAUGAAAUAUGGUAGAAGUAAUGGAGUGACUCGCGGCAAGAAAAAGAAGAAGAAGAAGGCUUUAAUGAAACUGAUGCUUUUGGGCUCUUUCCUUAAGGCCAAAAUAGAAUUAUUGCUGAAAUUGUUGGGUGCUCAUUUACAAAUUAAAUUCUUUGCCAUUGCUCUGAUUGGUCUGCUGAUUAAUAUUGCUCGUUUCUGGAUUGAUGUCAAACGUGGUGGUACACCACAGAAGGAAACAAGAUGAUAAAACAAAAUUUGUCUUUUUUUCAAAAACUGUAUAAUAAAAAUUGUAAAACUACUAAUGGAACCAUAAACGAUCGUGUAAACAACCUAUAACAAUUUUGGUUACUAAAUUCCGAGCAGUUAGUAAAAUCUAAUAACUAACUCUAGUGCAUCAUUAUGAAGAUCAUGGCGAUGACUGGAGUGAAUCGGCUGGCGGUGGUGGUGGCGGCUAUUGGAAGAGAUCUUUACAAACAGAUUCCACGGAAAACACUUACGACUCGGUAACCGAUAGUUAUCAACCCCGUCCACAAC